AGUUGAAAGAAGAUCAAAGAAUCAGUAAGUUUUAAACCACAAUAGGCAUUGUUACGUAACACAUGCUGUUUUCUAGAAACAUCGAUGAUGUGACGUCACGAAGUGGUGACGACGCAACAGAAGAAUCCACUUCAACUCGGUAUGUGACGUCACUCAGGAUCAAGCUGUUCAUCAUGCGCAAAUUCGGAAUGAAAAAAACUCCGCGAUUAUUUCUUCAGAAGAAAAGCACAAGCUGACGAACAAAGACGAAGACGCCGUUAACGGAUAAUGGUUUGAGUAUAUUUAAGUGUUGUGCGUAUAUGUGU